rnacentral:ncRNA from 2 species
UCCCGCCACUACGUGAAUGGUGCCCUCCCGCUUGUCGGCUGGAGGGUGAAACGGGAAGCCGGUGCCGCAGGAGAUCUCCAUCUCCUGCCAGUCCGGCGCAGCCCCCGCUGCUGUAUGCCUGACGAUUUUGUUCAUACGCCACUGUGCAGCGCACGGGAAGGCAAGGACAAAAGAGGAUGAAGGCAAGCCAGAAGACCGGCCUUCACGCUUGAUAGUGC